rnacentral:lncRNA from 1 species
GAUCCAUAGAACAAAAAGUGCCUGAACGGACAAGGCCUCUGGAAUAUUGCAGAAAACUGUGGAUCUUCAGGAGAGUAAGACCUGGACUUUGCUGAAACUUCUGAGCUCUGCUUCAGUCUCCUAGGCGCAAAGACCUGGUCUCUAUGAAGCUCAGUGUCUGUGAGACGCUACCAUCAUGGCAGCCCCCGUUCAUGUUUCUCUUGCUGACCUAUCCUCUGCAGGGGAAGCCAAGUCUGCUAACGGGGUGGUGCCGUGCGGACACUCAAUGUUGCAGUUAAACCACAUCCCUUAAGAAGGAAACCUAAGGUGGCUGCUCAUUUGAGGUUCUCCAGUGGCCACACCAAUGAUAUGAGUGUGAGUCCACAUGCAGGACGAUUUAAUGGCUGUGCAGUCAUGCUCAAAAGCCCCACACCAGCCUCCUCUGCAACAACAACUGCAACAACAACAGAGAUAUGACAGCCUCCCUCUCUCAUUGCUAAGGAAGGACUUCAAAGCACACUGAGUAAUUUGCAUUUCUUAUCCCAGGACAGAGAGAAUUAUAAUAAAGCAUUCGUUGGCUUUUUCUCUUCAGGACCAGAGUCUUGUAUGUUCAGUUCUUUGGCUUUUGAGUUCCAAACCUGUAGGAGAACUUCUAAGCCCAGCAAAUUUUGAAGCAUCCCUGAUGAAUUCCUUCAUCCCGA